CAAUUAUAUUGAAUGGGAAAUUAUUAAAGAAACGUUACAUAUUACUUGGUGUUUUCUUGAAUAGAAUUGACUAUUUAUCUAAUAACUUUGAUUAAUAUUGUGCGUGUAAUUGUCAGUUAUAUAUAAAUUGUCUAUUAAUAAUUUCUCUUAAUUUAGUUUUUAUCUUCUCUUUAAUUAGCAGUAUGACAUAUAUGAACACGAUGAAGUUCAAGGAGAUACUACAGUAGCCCGUCCGAUUUUGGGAUCGGUUUUAUCAAUAGUACUUAAUGUGGUACUUGGUCUACUAAGCCCGGUGAUUACACCACUUCUUGCCUUUAUAGUAGAUUUUGUGUGUGCGAAUGCACCCACCGUAGCAGUCGACGGAGCAUGUGACUGUCUAAAAGGGAAUAUUUAAGAAUAUGUAUUCUUAAAAGGAAAAAGAAAAAUAUCAUAAAGGAUAACUUUUAUCAUCGACUUUGUAAAGGCACUGUUAUAAAACUAUACCUAUGAAAAAAUGCACUUACUAUAAGCACUUAAUAUUUUUAUUAUUAUUAUAUAAUUUGAAUGUACUGUCCCUUUCUAAACAGUUAAAUUUUAAAAUUAUAUAA